GAGAUGGAUUUGUGCCUUCGGGAACCGUGAGACAGGUGCUGCAUGGCUGUCGUCAGCUCGUGUUGUGAAAUGUUGGGUUAAGUCCCGCAACGAGCGCAACCCUUAUCCUUUGUUGCCAGCGAUUAGGUCGGGAACUCAAAGGAGACUGCCAGUGAUAAACUGGAGGAAGGUGGGGAUGACGUCAAGUCAUCAUGGCCCUUACGACCAGGGCUACACACGUGCUACAAUGGCGCAUACAAAGAGAAGCGACCUCGCGAGAGCAAGCGGACCUCAUAAAGUGCGUCGUAGUCCGGAUUGGAGUCUGCAACUCGACUCCAUGAAGUCGGAAUCGCUAGUAAUCGUGGAUCAGAAUGCCACGGUGAAUACGUUCCCGGGCCUUGUACACACCGCCCGUCACACCAUGGGAGUGGGUUGCAAAAGAAGUAGGUAGCUUAACCUUCGGGAGGGCGCUUACCACUUUGUGAUUCAUGACUGGGGUGAAGUCGUAACAAGGUAACCGUAGGGGAACCUGC
rnacentral:rRNA from 1 species